rnacentral:rRNA from 1 species
UACGAAGGGGGCUAGCGUUGCUCGGAAUCACUGGGCGUAAAGCGCACGUAGGCGGUUUGCUAAGUCAGGGGUGAAAUCCUGGAGCUCAACUCCAGAACUGCCUUUGAUACUGGCGACCUUGAGUCCGGGAGAGGUGAGUGGAACUGCGAGUGUAGAGGUGAAAUUCGUAGAUAUUCGCAAGAACACCAGUGGCGAAGGCGGCUCACUGGCCCGGUACUGACGCUGAGGUGCGAAAGCGUGGGGAGCAAACAGG